AUGCGUGGUAUCAGCCGAUCCGCUUUCAUUCGGCCCCCCUCCAGGUACUGAUUUUCGCGUCGCCUUGUUUGCUCUAUCUCAAAGCGUUCUCCCACCUCAACCGAGAAUUUUCUAUUUCAGAUAUCAACCGUAGAACUUAGUCAUGAAUUUAGUCGCGAUUCCGAUUCCGAGUCGAUAUUUCCUCUGAAGGUCUUUUUACAUCGUGGUUUUUGGUGUUGGUUUGAGUUUGAGAUCAUCUCAAAUCGCAGUGUUAGUGCUUCACACAAUUUUUCGUGUUGCCACAAAAACUCCAGGAGAAUGGAGGAAACUGUGUUCACUCCGCGCAGAAUACUUUUCCUGGCGAAGAAACUUGACGUUAAUCUUCUCGCCAAAGCUGAGCAGCUACAAGAACACUUCAGCUGCUCUUUAAAUGUGGUUAUUAAGGAAAAAUUUGAAAUCGAUGACCCAUUAGAUAUUAUUGCAGAAACUCUAGUCGUAAUAGAUGAUUUUGAAGGUCCUCUUUUCGAACACCUUGAACAAAGAGUUCGCUCCUCUCCAAAGAUUAUUCAAGUCCGUGGACCUCCAGCCUUCAUCGAUGCCUGUGAUAAAUUAAGUUUAGAAACACGUAAGAGACCAUUGUUUUGUAAUGCAAUGACAUCAUUGGUUUUCUGCCUAAUUGUUAGGCAGAAAGAAUAAAGGUAUGUUGAUUUCUUUCCCCUUUACAGCCUAAUUAGUUAAAAUCCUUGGAAUUUGAAGAUAUAUUCCAGUGGUCUCAAUAUUACUUCACUCCCUAACUAUUUAGGUGUGGAUGACUUGCCAAUCUUAUAACUUGUCAAGCCAUCCAUGUGCUCGAUGUUAGCACUUAAUGUAAGAAAACGCAAGACUUAUUCACCUAAAAUUAAUAAUAACAUGUUAUUACAUUGACGGUCCUACUUAACAAACCCCUCCAUUUUUUUCUUGAGAGGGGGGCGGUUAAUGCGGUUAUGCCAUAACCAUUAAUCGUAGUGAGCUCUGUCAGGUAUCUGAAUUAUUUUUCAAAAGGUAUUUACUUUUACCUUGAGAGAACUGGACCCAGAGGAGCAAAGUGUUCUCGACUGCGCAAUUGUGACCUAAUGGCGGGCAUGCCCUUAAAAUUGCAGAGGCUGAGAGAGGUUUUUUUUAAGGGUUCUCAGGUCAAAUCAUCGCGCUCUAUCAACGUGCUUCUCGUAAAAAACUUGCGCGUUCCAAAGAUUUAACAAAAUUUUAA
rnacentral:lncRNA from 1 species